rnacentral:pre_miRNA from 14 species
GGGCCAUUGUGACUGACAGGCUGCCCUGGCUCAGUUAUCACAGUGCUGAUGCUGUCUACUCUAAAGGUACAGUACUGUGAUAACUGAAGGAUGGUAGCCAUCUUAACUUCAGCUUUUCA